AUCCUUUUGUAGUUCAUAAGCAUGAUGACUGGGUUUUCAUGCUUGUGCGUGAGAUGUGCUUCCCUCAAACCUUGUUAUGAUGGUGGCAGAUUACCCAUCUGAUG
ensembl:snoRNA